CUACGGGGGGCUGCAGUGGGGAAUAUUGGACAAUGGGGGAAACCCUGAUCCAGCAAUGCCGCGUGUGUGAAGAAGGCCCGCGGGUUGUAAAGCACUUUCGGUUGGGAGGACUGCUUCUAGCACUAAUAUUGUUGGAAGUUGACGUUACCUUCAGAAGAAGCACCGGCUAACUCCGUGCCAGCAGCCGCAGUAAUACGGAGGGUGCAAGCGUUAAUCGGAAUUACUGGGCGUAAAGCGCGCGUAGGCGGCUAGAUCAGUCGGGUGUGAAAGCCCCGGGCUUAACCUGGGAACUGCAUCCGAUACUGUCUAGCUUGAGUACAGGAGAGGAGAGUGGAAUUCCACAUGUAGCGGUGAAAUGCGUAGAUAUGUGGAGGAACACCAAUGGCGAAGGCAGCUCUCUGGCCUGAUACUGACGCUGAGGUGCGAAAGCGUGGGGAGCAAACAGGAUUAGAUACCCGAGUAGUC
rnacentral:rRNA from 1 species